AUAACAAUACAGGACUCUUUAGAGUCCCUGUAAUUGUAAUGAGUCCACUUGAAAUCCUUUAACUCUGAUCAAUUGGAGGGAAGUCUGGUGCAGAGCCACUGACCCGUGUGUGCUGCAGCUGAAACUCCACUAUCACCUGCUGCUCACACAGUCUCAUGAGGCGGUGAAUGGGAAGGCAGUGAAUGUCACAUCCUGUUCCAA